GGGCCUACGGGAGGCAGCAGUGAGGAAUAUUGGUCAAUGGUCGGGAGACUGAACCAGCCAAGCCGCGUGAGGGAUGAAGGUACAGAGUAUCGUAAACCUCUUUUGUCAGGGAGCAAAGUCACCCACGUGUGGGUGUUGGAGAGUACCUGAAGAAAAAGCAUCGGCUAACUCCGUGCCAGCAGCCGCGGUAAUACGGAGGAUGCGGGCGUUAUCCGGAUUUAUUGGGUUUAAAGGGUGCGUAGGCGGGUUAUCAAGUCAGCGGUAAAAUCGUGGAGCUCAACUCCAUCCAGCCGUUGAAACUGAUG
rnacentral:rRNA from 1 species